GGAUUGAAGGCUGAAAUUCGCCUACAUGAAGCUGGAAUUGCUAGUAAUGGCAGGUCAGCAUACUGCCGUGAAUACGUUCCCGGGCCUUGUACACACCGCCCGUCACACCAUGAGAGUUGGGGAUACCCGAAGCCUGUGAGCCAACUGUAAAGAGGCAGCAGUCGAAGGUAGAAUCAAUGAUUGGGGUGAAGUCGUAACAAGGUAUC
rnacentral:rRNA from 1 species